rnacentral:rRNA from 1 species
GGACGAACGCUGGCGGCGUGCUUAACCCAUGCAAGUCGAACGGAAAGGCCCUGCUUUUGUGGGGUGCUCGAGUGGCGAACGGGUGAGUAACACGUGAGUAACCUGCCCUUGACUUUGGGAUAACUUCAGGAAACUGGGGCUAAUACCGGAUAGGAGCUCCUGCUCCAUGGUGGGGGUUGGAAAGUUUCGGCGGUUGGGGAUGGACUCGCGGCUUAUCAGCUUGUUGGUGGGGUAGUGGCUUACCAAGGCUUUGACGGGUAGCCGGCCUGAGAGGGUGACCGGCCACAUUGGGACUGAGAUACGGCCCAGACUCCUACGGGAGGCAGCAGUGGGGAAUAUUGCACAAUGGGCGGAAGCCUGAUGCAGCAACGCCGCGUGCGGGAUGACGGCCUUCGGGUUGUAAACCGCUUUCGCCUGUGACGAAGCGUGAGUGACGGUAAUGGGUAAAGAAGCACCGGCUAACUACGUG